rnacentral:lncRNA from 1 species
UGGGAUUCCUCCAGUAGCAUCCAGAAGCUGAGGCAUAGGAAAGGCCAUUGGCCCUGCCCAUCAAGUUUUUAAAUACAUCUUUUUUCUAGGGAUUCUUUGAACUAAUACCACAGGAUCUCAUCAAAAUUUUUGAUGAAAAUGAACUAGAGCUUCUUAUGUGUGGACUGGGAGAUGUUGAUGUGAAUGACUGGAGGGAACAUACAAAGUAUAAAAAUGGCUACAGUGCAAAUCAUCAGGUUAUACAGUGGUUUUGGAAGGCUGUUUUAAUGAUGGAUUCAGAAAAAAGAAUAAGAUUACUUCAGUUUGUCACUGGCACAUCUCGGGUGCCUAUGAAUGGAUUUGCUGAACUAUACGGUUCAAAUGGACCACAGUCAUUUACAGUUGAACAGUGGGGUACUCCUGAAAAGCUGCCAAGAGCUCACACCUGUUUUAAUCGCCUGGACUUGCCACCUUAUGAAUCAUUUGAAGAAUUAUGGGAUAAACUUCAGAUGGCAAUUGAAAACACUCAGGGCUUUGAUGGAGUUGAUUAGAUUACAAAUAACAAUCUAUAGUGUUUUUACUGCCAUAGUUUUAUAACCAAAAUCUUGACUUAAAAUUUUCCGGGGAACUACUAAAAUGUGGCCACUGAGUCUUCCCAGAUCUUGAAGAAAAUCAUAUAAAAAGCUUUUGAAGAAAUAGUAUGACAACUUAUUUUCAAUCACUUUUAAAUAAUGUGUUGCAUUUACACAGUUGUUUCAUUCUGUCUUUAGAGUUAGGUGCCUGCCUAAAGCCAGGCACCACCACACCUGGCUUUAGAGUUCACACAAUAGGAUAUAAGUCCUGUAUGACUUAAAUAGUGAAUUUUGUCCUUAACA